GCAGCAACGCCGCGUGCCCGAUGACGGCCUUCGGGUUGUAAAGGGCUKUYYUGAGGGACGAGAAAGGACGGUACCUCAGGAAUAAGGAUCKGCUAACUACGUGCCAGCAGCCGCGGUAACACGUAGGAUUCGAGCGUUAUCCGAAUUUACUGGGCGUAAAGCGCKUGUAGGCGGUUACGCAAGGUGGAUGUGAAAUCUUCCGGCUCAACUGGGAGAGGCCGUCCAAAGCUGCGUGGCUAGAGAGCGACAGAGGGAGGUGGAAUUCCCGGUGUAGUGGUGAAAUGCGUAGAUAUCGGGAGGAACACCAGAGGCGAAAGCGGCCUCCUGGGUCGCAUCUGACGCUGAGACGCGAAAGCCAGGGGAGCGAACGGGAUUAGAUACCCCGGUAGUCCUGGCUGUAAACGAUGCAGACUAGGCGUUUGGGAGGUAAAACUCUUGAGUGCCGGAGCUAACGCGAUAAGUCUGCCGCCUGGGAAGUACGGUCGCAAGGCUAAAACUCAAAGGAAUUGGCGGGUCCCCGCACAAGCAGCGGAGCGUGUGGUUUAAUUCGAUGCUACGCGAAGAACCUUACCCGGGUUUGACAUGCUGGUGGUAGAGAAGCGAAAGUGGAUCGACCCUUCGGGGAGCCAGCACAGGUGCUGCAUGGCUGUCGUCAGCUCGUGUCGUGAGAUGUCCGGUUAAGUCCGGUAACGAGCGCAACCCUUGCCGUAUGUUACAAGU
rnacentral:rRNA from 1 species